rnacentral:tRNA from 1 species
GUGCGCGUAAUUUAAAAAAAAUAUCAAGCUGUGACCCUGAACAUAGGAUUUAACCCUCACGCACC